CUUGGUCACUUAGAGGAAGUAAAAGUCGUAACAAGGUCUCCGUUGGUGAACCAGCGGAGGGAUCAUUACCGAGUUUACAACUCCCAAACCCAAUGUGAACCAUACCAAACUGUUGCCUCGGCGGGGUCACGCCCCGGGUGCGUCGCAGCCCCGGAACCAGGCGCCCGCCGGAGGGACCAACCAAACUCUUUCUGUAGUCCCCUCGCGGACGUUAUUUCUUACAGCUCUGAGCAAAAAUUCAAAAUGAAUCAAAACUUUCAACAACGGAUCUCUUGGUUCUGGCAUCGAUGAAGAACGCAGCGAAAUGCGAUAAGUAAUGUGAAUUGCAGAAUUCAGUGAAUCAUCGAAUCUUUGAACGCACAUUGCGCCCGCCAGUAUUCUGGCGGGCAUGCCUGUCCGAGCGUCAUUUCAACCCUCGAACCCCUCCGGGGGGUCGGCGUUGGGGAUCGGGAACCCCUAAGACGGGAUCCCGGCCCCGAAAUACAGUGGCGGUCUCGCCGCAGCCUCUCCUGCGCAGUAGUUUGCACAACUCGCACCGGGAGCGCGGCGCGUCCACGUCCGUAAAACACCCAACUUCUGAAAUGUUGACCUCGGAUCAGGUAGGAAUACCCGCUGAACUUAAGCAUAUCAAUAAGCGGAGGA
rnacentral:rRNA from 1 species